rnacentral:rRNA from 1 species
UGGGGAAUAUUGCACAAUGGGGGAAACCCUGAUGCAGCGACGCCGCGUGAACGAAGAAGGUAUUCGUAUCGUAAAGUUCUGUCCUAUGGGAAGAUAAUGACAGUACCAUAGAAGAAAGCUCCGGCUAAAUACGUGCCAGCAGCCGCGGUAAUACGUAGGUGGCAAGCGUUGUCCGGAUUUAUUGGGCGUAAAGCGAGCGCAGGCGGUCAAUUAAGUCUGAUGUGAAAGCCCCCGGCUCAACCGGGGAGGGUCAUUGGAAACUGGUUGACUUGAGUGCAGAAGAGGCGAGUGGAAGUCCAUGUGUAGCGGUGAAAUGCGUAGAUAUAUGGAGGAACACCAGUGGCGAAUGCGACUCGCUGGUCUGUAACUGACGCUGAGGCUCGAAAGCGUGGGUAGCAAACAGG